rnacentral:tRNA from 1 species
GGCUCUGUGGCGCAAUGGACAGCGCAUUGGACUUCUAGUUUUAGGUGAUCUCUGAAAAAGUGAUUCAAAGGUUGUGGGUUCGAGUCCCACAAGAGUCG